ensembl:lncRNA
ACACACACACACACACUGGACACACACACUCUGGACACACACACACACUGGACUCACAGACACACACACUGGUCACACACACUCUGGACACACACACACACUGGACUCACAGACACACACACUGGACACACACACACACACUGGACUCACAGACUCACGCUGGACACACACACACACACACACACUAGAUACACACACACACACACACACACACACACUGGACACACACACACUGGACACACACACUCUGGACACACACACACACACACAUGCGCGUCUUUCUAUAGUUGUGAGGACCUCUUACAACAACACUGUUAAAAUACAAUGUGAUCAUGUGUUGUCUUUUAUGUUGAAAAACUAAUUAUACAAUUAUAUAUAAUUAUAUAUGGACAUACGCUCCAUAGUUGUACAAGUAUACAAGGAUAUAUUGUACUUUUCAUAAUAAAACAUACUUGAAACAAGAAAAGCAUGUUAAUUGUGAAAACAGUUUGUUUAUUGAUUUAACGUUUCCUCUAUCAGGUUGAUGUUAACCUGCGACUGGUUGAAACAUGAAACAAAUAUGAAAUGAAAUACAAAACAAUUAAAUGUGUGGAAUAGAAUUAAACAAAUUGUACAAUUAGAACAACAGAGUGUUGUAAUGCAGGGUUACUAUAGCAACAGAGUGUUGUAAUGCGGGGUCACUAUAGUAACAGAGUGUUGUGAUGCAGGGUCACUAUAGCAACAUAGUGUUGUGAUGCAGGUUCACUAUAGCAACAGAGUUCUCUCUUCUCUCUGUUCUCUGCUCUCUCCCUCUUUCUGCUCGCUCUCUCUUUCUGCUCGCUCUCUCUGCUCUCUGCUCUCUCUGUCCUCUUCUCUCUGCUCUCUCUGCUCUGCUGCUCUCUUUUCUCUGCUCUCUCUUUGCUCUCUGCUCUCUCUUUUUACACAUUUUGUGACGUUACAGACUUAUUCUAAAAUGGAUUAAAUGUGUUUUUCCCCUCAUCAAUCUACACACAAUAAAACAUAAUUACAAAGCAAAAACAGUUCACUUUAUGUGUGAAAAUUUUUAUUUAAAAAAAAAUUAGAUAUCACAGAGGGAGAGUAGAGAGUCAGAACAGAGGGAAAGAGAGAGAGGGAGGGUAGAGAGUCAGAACAGAGGGAGAGGAGAGAGUCAGAACAGAGGGAAAGAGAGAGAGGGAGGGAGAGAAGUCAGAACAGAGGGAAAGAGAGAGAGGGAGGGGAGAGAGUCAGAACAGAGGGAGAGUAGAGAGUCAGAACAUAGGGAAAAGAGAGAGGGAGGGGAGAGAGUCAGAACAGAGGGAAAGAGAGAGAGAGAGUCAGUACAGAGUCAGAACAGAGGGAGAGUAGAGAGUCAGAACAGAGGGAAAGAGAGAGAGGGAGGAGAGAGAGUCAGAACAGAGGGAAAGAGAGAGAGGGAGGGGAGAGAGUCAGAACAGAUGGAAAGAGAGAGAGAGGGAGGGGGAGAGAUCAGAACAGAGGGAAAGAGAGAGAGGGAGGGUAGAGAGUCAGAACAGAGGGAAAGAGAGAGAGAGAGGGUAGAGAGUCAGAACAGAGGGAAAGAGAGAGAGAGGAUGUGUGGAAGUUGCUUUAUAUUUGGUAAUUGGGGGCCUUUGAGCCAUGAUGGGCUGGGUGACAUCAUGACUCUCUGAGAGAUUACUGUUGCUGUGGAGGGAGAGCAAGAGAGAGAGAGAGGAGGGAGAGAUUAGUCAGCAGAAAUGAUUCAGGACGACAUUCAUCUUUAAAUGUACUUCUUCAUUUCUCUCUUUCCCCACUGAGGAAGAUAAA